rnacentral:misc_RNA from 1 species
GAUGAAGAACGUAGCGAAAUGCGAUAAGUAGUGUGAAUUGCAGAAUUCAGUGAAUCAUCGAAUCUUUGAACGCACAUUGCGCCCCUUGGUAUCCCGAGGGGCAUGCCUGUUCGAGCGUCAUUUCACCACUCAAGCCUGGCUUGGUAUUGGGCGCCGCGGUGUUCCGCGCGCCUCAAAGUCUCCGGCUGAGCUGUCCGUCUCCAAGCGUUGUGAUUUCAUUAAUCGCUUCGGAGUGCGGGCGGCCGCGGCCGUUAAAUCUUUCACAAGGUUGACCUCGGAUCAGGUAGGGAUACCCGCUGAACUUAAGCAUAUCAAUAAGCGGAGGA